UUUCUAGAAUUGUACUGAAAAAUUGAAAAGAAAAAAAAUUCAAAGAUGCACGAUAUUAACUUGUAGCUAAUUAUGAUCAAGCGAGUUUGCCUUAAAACACCGCUAGAUAGUAUGUCUCUGAUACUACGACGAGAAAAUUUGCGUGUUUAAUUAGCCUUUAUUUUUUUAGAUAAAAGAGAAAAUUCCAUUUAUCAAAGAUCAUGACGACCAAACUGGUUAAGCAUGAAUAGUCCGAAGAUCAUACAAACAGCUUACCAACUACAAAUUGAAAAGACAACCGUAAAACUACCAUCCAAAAAGGUGGACAUUAACACACUAGAAAAACAAAUAAAACCUCUAACCUAUACAACCUCAAAGCAAAGCCACUGUCCUGGUGAGUUUGACGCCUAAGACUUAUUGGUGUACGUUUCCACUCAACAUACCAGAAAGCCAACUCCGCUCCAUCAGCAAUAAAGGAUAGAGAUUGUCACACCGCCAAUAACCCAGCCUAAUGUCACGAGCUUACUUUUCCUAAGCUACUCGUGCGGCCUUAGCACCCUCCUUGCGCUAAGUCAGUCUUACUCACGCACAACACUUGGCUAGAACAACCGAAAGAAGACAAGAAGAACACUUAGAAAGCAAGAACUUGUAUUAAGCUUUAAGAAUGCUUUACAAGGCUUGGUAAUGCAAUGCUUUCUCUAUGUACAAAAUGAGAGGGGUGCCUCCCUAUUUAUACGCAUCCUUCCCCUUGCCUAAAGUUCUAGAGUAAUCUAGGACUUUACAAAUAAAGACAAAGUCUAGAGACUUCUACAUGUCUCUAGGGAAGUCCUAAAAUAACUAUACAAGGCCUUGAGUGUUCUAGAGAGUUCUAGGGAUCUCUAGUUGCUUGAGCCUCCUCAAAGAUUCUAGAGAAUUCCAUAGUCUCCUAGCGACUUCCCAAUGUAUCCGGACACCUCCGAGGCUUCCCACAACGUUCUAGAACACUCUAGUGUGCUCCGAAAAUUAUCCUUGGGCAAUGCUUGCUCCAAAUAGGCCCAAGGAACUUGGCGGGUUGUGACAUUCUCCCCCACCUAAGUCCGCGACGCCCUCGUCGCAUCCCGCUCAUGGUAGCGUUGGAUUUUGUCCUUGAAUUGCCAAAGCAAAUCCUCGGACUCCCAACUUGCCUCCGUAUCGGGCAACCCUCUCCACUUGACGAGAUACUCCUUGUAGCUUGGCACGCCUCGACGCCGGAUGACGCGGUCCGCAAGUAUCUCAUCUACUUCCUUGUCAAAGGAGGUGACAACUACCGUUGGUGCCCGAUGCGAAAUUCCCCUUGAUGGGUCUUCCACGUCUUCAUUGUAAGGCCUCAACAUGCUUACAUGGAAGACCGGAUGUAUCUUCAACUUGGGCGGAAGAUGAAGCUUGUAUGAAACCUUGCCCACACGUUUGAUAACUUCAAACGGCCUCUCAUACUUGCGUAUCAAGCCUUUAUGCACCUUCCUAAAGGCUUUGAAUUGUUGUGGCAAGAGCUUCACGAGUACAAGGUCCCCUUCCUUGAACUCCACGUGCCUCCUCUUUUUAUCCGUCCACUUCUUCAUCCUUGAGGCGGCCUUAUGCAACGCCGCGCGAGCUAACUCCCUUUGCUCGUGCCACGACUUGGCAAACUUGAAUACGGCGGGACUCUUUCCCUCGUAACAAGUGGCAAGGGAAAGAGGUGUCAUUGGUUGCUACCCCAAGUUAAUCUCAAAAGGACUCUUGUUGGUGGCCUCGCUUUGUUGCAAGUUAUAAGAAAAUUGUGCCACAUCAAGAAGCUUGGCCCAAUCCUUUUUAUUGGCACUCACAUAGUGCCGCAAGUAUAGCUCCAAGAGAGCAUUGGCGCGCUCCGUUUGCCCAUCACUUUGUGGGUGGAAGCUUGUUGAAAAGCUUAAGUCCGACCCAAGCAUCUUGAAAAGCUCCGUCCAAAACCUUCCGGUGAAGCGUGGGUCUCGGUCACUCACAAUGUUCUUCGGAACGCCCCAAAACUUGACCACGUUGCUAAGGAAUAGCUUAGCGGUUUCCUCGGCCGUGCAAUCGGCUGAUGCGGCCAUGAAGGUUGCAUACUUGCUAAAUCGGUCCACCACCACGAUAAUGCUCCCAAACCCCUCGGACUUUGGCAAACAAGUAAUGAAGUCCAUAGAGACACUCUCCCAUGGUCUCUCGGGAAUGGGCAAGGGGUCGAGCAAGCCCCCCGGCUGUUGUUGGACUAACCUGUCUUGUUGGCAUACAAGACAUGUCCUCACAUACUCCUCGACUCCAUCGCGCAUCCUUGGACAAUAAUAGGUGGACUUCAACAAGGCAAGUGUGCGCCUUACUCCCGGAUGGCCGGCCCACUUGGAGUCAUGACAUUCUUUCAUGAGCUCCCUUCUCAAGUUGCCCCACUUUGGCACAUAGAUGCGGCGGCCCUUCGUGUAUAGGAGGUCUUCCUCCAUCCAAAACCUCCGUGUCUUGCCCUCCUUUAUCAAGGCGAUGACACUUUGUGCUUGUGGAUCCGCCUUGAGUCCCUCCUUGAUCUUGUUCAAGAGUGGGCUAGUGACUUGCGAUAUGCUUGCAAAUUCCGCCUUCCGGCUUAGUGCGUCGGCUACCACGUUCACCUUUCCCGGCUUGUACUCCAUGACAUAGUCGAACUCCGCCAAGAAAUCUUGCCAUCGAGCUUGCUUCGGACUUAGCUUCUUUUGUGUUUGAAAGUAGCUUAUCGCCACGUUGUCGGUCAUGAUUACGAACCUUGUCCCAAGCAAAUAGUGCCGCCACACUCUAAGGCAAUGGAUGAUGGCCGUCAUCUCCUUCUCUUGCACCGUGUAGCGACGCUCCAUGUCGUUAAGCUUCCGACUCUCAUAGGCAACCGGAUGUCCUUCUUGCAUGAGCACGCCUCCAAUGGCAAAGUCGGAAGCAUCGGUGUGUAACUCGUAUGGCUUGGUGUGAUCAGGUAGGCUUAACACGGGGUCCUCGCAUAUUGCCUUCUUCAAGUCUUCAAAGGCUUCUUGGCACUUUGUCGUCCACUCCCAUGCCUUGUUUUUCUUAAGAAGGUCGGUUAGUGGAGCGGCCCUUGCCGAAUAUCCCUUGAUAAAACGGCGGUAACAAUUCACUAACCCAAGAAAAGAUCUUAACUCAUGUACCUUGGUGGGUGGCUCCCAUUCUUGGAUGGCAUGUACCUUGCAAUCUUCCAUCAUAAGCUUGCCAUCCUUGAUCUUGUGCCCUAAGAACAACACCUUGUUCUUUGCAAAGGAGCACUUCUCCCUCUUGAUGUAUAGCUCAUUUUCCCUUAGCACUUUGAACACUUCCCUCAAGUGCUCUACAUGCUCCUCCAUGGUUUGGCUAUACACCACAAUGUCAUCUAAAUAGACGACCACAAACCGAUCAAGAUAAGGGUGAAAUAUCUUAUUCAUCAAGGUGCAAAACGUCGCCGGUGCAUUUGUUAGACCAAAGGGCAUAACCAAGAACUCGUAAGAACCAUACCUUGUGAUGCACGCGGUUUUUGGUUCAUCACCCUCGGCUAUGCGCACUUGGUAAUACCCCGAUCGAAGGUCCAACUUCGUGAAGUAACGUGCAUGCCCCAAUUGAUCAAACAAGUCGGCAAUGAGAGGGAUGGGGUACUUGUUCUUCACCGUGACCUUGUUGAGGGCCCUAUAGUCGAUGCACAUGCGAAGAGAACCAUCUUUCUUCUUUUGAAACAAGAACGGGGCACCAAAGGGUGCUUUUGAAGGUCUAAUGAAUCCUGCGUCCAAUAACUCCUUCAAUUGCCUCCUUAGCUCCGCCAACUCGGGUGGUGCCAUGCGGUAUGCGCCCAUGGCGGGUGGCUUGGUUCCCGGCUCCAACUCAAUUGCAUGGUCGACUUCCCUUCUUGGUGGUAGUCUCUUGGGUAACUCGGAUGGUGACACAUCCUUGAACUCUUCAAGCACUUUGGCUACCUCCUUGGGCACGUCGUCUUGUGGCCUCGGCUCCUCAUCAUCGUACUCCUUGAGGAUGGCUAGGUAGCUCUCCUCUUCCCUCUUGACGCCCUUCUUGAAUUGUAGUGCCGAUAACACCUUCAAGUCUUGCUUGGCGCCUCUCUUUGUCGGCACAACGCACGCCUUGUCGUCAUCUAUGAUGCACAUGCUAUUGGCGAACGGCACCGGUAUGGCCUUGACUUGAUCAUAGAAUUCCAACCCUAGGACGACUUUGUAGUCAUCCAUUGGAACAAUCGAGAAGUCCAAGUUUCCACACCAUGCCCCCACGGUAGUCUUGACUCCUCAAAUCACACCUUGAAUUGGUCGGGCGGGUGAGUUAACCGCCUUGAUGGAGCCCCCUCCAUCACUCCCUCGUAGCCCUAGCCUUCGGGCUUCUUCAAUCGAGAUGAAAUUGUGGGUUGCCCCCGUAUCGAGCAUUGCGGACGUUGGUUUCUCUCCAAUUGUCAAGUCGACGAAGUGUAGGCCUUUGGCUUGGACUUUGGGUGUCGAUCGAAUUACGUUGAGUAAUUGCAUCGACCCCAUGCUUACACCUUCGUCGCCGCCCUCGGCUUCACCUUGAUGACUCCCUAAGAGUGCACUUAGUGCCCUCUUUUGCGGACAAUCUCUAGCCCAAUGCGGCCCAUCACAAAGGAAGCACUUGUUGUUGUUGGGCUUUGAACUCCUCACAUCCUUUUGCUUGCCUUUGUCUUUGCUUCUUGCCGCGUAGUUAUCUUGACGGGGCUCGUCUUUGCGUUGGCCUUUGUCUCCCCCACCUUUGGCAUAACUACUCUUCUUUUCCUUCGGCUUGCUUGUGGACUCCUUUGGACUAGUGUAGUCAAUUAGGCUUUCGGCCACAGCUAUGACGGUAGCAAGGUCUUGCACCCCACGUCGCCUUAGCUCGGUCUUAGCCUAUGGUUGGAGACCAUCCAUAAAAUUGAAGAGAGCAUCCUUGUCGGGUAAAUCGGGAAUCUCAAGCACUAAGUUGGUGAAGUCCUUAAUAUAAUCCCGAAUAGACCCCGAGUGCUUGAGCCUUCGCAAGCGAGCUCUUGCCUCAUCCUCGGCAUUCUCGGGACAAAAUUGUCUCUUGAGUUCUCUAGUGAAGUCAUCAAAGGUGUCGAUGGUGCACGUACAUUUCUCAAUAUCUCCUCGCCUUCUCUUCCACCAUAACAUGGCAGUGUCGGUGAGGUAGAGAGUCGCGGUUCUAAUCUUGGCGUCCUCUUCGGUGAUGCCUACGGCUCCAAAGUAUUGGUCUAGCCCCCAUAAGAAGUUAUCAACUUCACGAGCGUUGCGCGAGCCCCCGAAACUCUUAGGCUUUGGCACCUCGAUGCGCUUAGCCUCCACAAUACCGCUGGUGCCGGCUCCCGUAGCCAAUGCGCGCUUGCAUAGGACCAAGUCCCCAUGCAUCUCCUCCAUGCGUGCAAGCGUGCCAUUCAACUUCUUCUCGUGCACUUAACGCAUUUUGGUGAGUUCCCCCAUGAACUCCUCGCGAAUCUUCGCCAUCUCGCCCCGCAAGGACUCCUCUAGCUGGGCCAACAUGCCCUUGAUCGCAGUGUGGAUGGCAGCAUCCUCCGCCUCUAAGUCGUCUACCCGUUGGCUUAGAUCAUCCACCUGGGCCUCCAUGCCACUCACGCCCUCCUCCACCUGAGAUAGGCGUGAGUCGAAAGCAGAGAUCAUGUCCUUAGACCGUUCCCGCCUUGGAACGUCAGGGUUGACAUGCUCGUCACGACUUCCCCUUUGCGUAACUUCCUCGGAAGCGUUGGAUCCUGUUGCACCUUUGGUAGCGCCGUGUUUUACCAUUGUGUCGAGAGAGGUUCCGAUCGAACUUCUGCUCUGAUACCAACUGUCAUGAGCUUACUUUUCCUAAGCUACUCGUGCGGCCUUAGCACCCUCCUUGCGCUAAGUCAGCCUUACUCACGCACAACACUUGGUUAGAACAACCGAAAGAAGACAAGAAGAACACUUAGAAAGCAAGAACUUGUAUUAAGCUUUAAGAAUGCUUUACAAGGCUUGGUAAUGCAAUGUUUUCUCUAUGUACAAAAUGAGAGGGGUGCCUCCCUAUUUAUAGGCAUCCUUCCCCUUGCCUAAAGUUCUAGAGUAAUCUAGGACUUUACAAAUAAAGACAAAGUCUAAAGACUUCUACAUGUCUCUAGGGGAGUCCUAAAAUAUCUAUACAAGGCCUUGAGUGUUCUAGAGAGUUCUAGGGAUCUCUAGUUGCUUGAGCCUCCUCAAAGAUUCUAGAGAAUUCCAUAGUCUCCUAGCGACUUCCCAAUGUAUCCGGACACCUCCGAGGCUUCCCACAACGUUCUAGAACACUCUAGUGUGCUCCGAAAAUUAUCCUUGGGCAAUGCUUGCUCCAAAUAUGCCCAAGGAACUUGGCGGGUUGUGACACUAAGCCAACCCAAAAAGAAGAAAGAAAAGGAAGGCCUAAACCCAAGGCCACAAUCAUGAGCCCAAUAGGCCCACAACCAUGCACCCCCGGCCCAAAACCUCCCCUCCUCCCACCCCCUCCUAGGCCGACGAAAGCAGAGCCACCAUCGGAGCCCGUCCUUCACCCUUCCAGCGGCCGCCCUCUUGCCUCUGCCAUGAGAGGACGCUGACUAGCCGAUCAGCCUCAACACCUUUGAACAAACAAAGGCUAGAUCACCGCCACACCCACCUACAACUCAGAUUCACCAAAAUCCCUCCACCUCAAAAGCCAACACACACCAAAUCCGAUCUAGAACCGCCAACAACCACCCACGCCGCGUGCACAGUCAAAGCCAAUCCGAUCGGACCAAUCCGAAUCACCCCCAACCUUACGCCAACGUCGCACAGCCGUUGUCAACCUCAAACCUGCGAUCCGGGCCACCGAGUUGCCGAAGCCGCUAGAGAUCCACCCACGCCGCCUCUGCGAUCAGGCCCUCCAACCCCAGACCGGAGUGAAGACGCCGCCGCCGCUGCGAUCAGGCCCUCCCACCCCAACCGGAGUGAGAACGCCGCCGCCGAAACCCUAGGACUUCUCUUCUCCGAAAGGGUCGAGUGCCAGAGAGCGACUUGACUUCUCUGUUUAAUUAGCCUUUUGUUUUCGAAUGAGGCUUAUUUAAUUAGUUUUAAUUGAAUUAGCUGUUUUUUUUAACAGGGACGAUAUCCUUAAAGGCUUUUUGGGUCCAGAGACUAAUUCACGCCGAGGGAUCAUGUCAGAACUCUUCCUCCCACCUGACCAUCAGAACUCUUCCUCCCACCUGACCAUCAAAAAUAAAUUGAGAUAUAACUCUAAUCAGUGUCAGCGGGAUUCAAACCUGGGUAUAGUGGUUACACACCAAGACUCUAACUUGAUCACCUGUGGUGGUUUGAAUUAGUUGUCUUUAGUUUUAAUACGUGAUUAGCUAAUUGAGAGAGAGGUGAAUGAACAUUGAAGUGAUUGGACAGUUUGAGUUGGGGUAAACCUAAGAAUUAUUCUUCAAACCACUUUAAAUAACCUUACUUAUAGUGUUCAUUUCACAAAAAAAAAAAAAAACCUUACUUAUUAUGUUAGUUAAUGUGUUUUCCAUGGAUACACCUGCUAAUCUGCUAGUGUUUGGCAAGGUGGUUCAGUUUAAUAUCGAUUAAGUAACAAGAGGUCAAAUAGAGAAAAGGAAGGAGAAGAAAAAAACGCCAAGUAAAUUUUGAUAAUAUAUAUGUCAUUAGAUGAGCAUAGAUAUCGAGACCAGGUUAGUUCUAGACGAUAAGAUAAAAUGUAUAUUAAUAAUACUCGAAUUGACAUCACUGCGACAAACAAUGGAGCACCAUGCUAAAAUUUUCCAUUCAAAUUCAUGGAAAGUCAAAAGAACUGAACGUUUCAGUUGUCAUAAUCGGUAAAUAACCGAGUAUAAACAUCGAUCAGUUCUCGUCAAAUGUUGCUUUCGUGAUAAGGCUGGUGGUCACUGGCGGAGGUACAUAGAGACCAAGGGGUGCCAUGGCACCCCCCAGAUUUAUGAUUUUAUUUGCAUUUGGUAUUUAGAGUCUAGCUAGUUUAGAAGUUUUAACUAUGCUGACACCCCCUAAUCCUCUAGAUUGGUUUGAUUUACUAAUAAAAAUAAUAAAAACUUUCUCUUUCUAGGAAAAUUAACUGUUUAGUCCAAUAAAGAAUAAUAAAAGCUUUAAAUUAACCUAUUCCUAAUACAAUUAUACUUCUAUCUCACCUCACCAAUUAACAUUGUCUUCUAUAAAUAAUCAAACUCAUAGCAGCAUAUUCGUACAAAUAUGUUCAAAAUCAGUUGAGAGACUACAAAUACAUCUUCCUGAUAUGCAACGAAUAAGAUUCGAUGCAACUGAAACAAUAGAGUUUGAUUAUUGAUUAUUGAUGACUCGAUUAUACGAAUAUGCUGCUAUGAAAUUGAUUAUUGAUGACUCGAUUAUUGAUGACUCGAUUAUUGAUGACUUUCGCGAUAUGCAGGAACGACAAGUCUAUUUUUAAUGUAUAACUCUAUUUAAAAACUUUAUUAUAUUAUAUUAUAGAUUAUGUUUUUUUUUUCAAUAAUCUCAUUUAUAUCGGUCCCCCUCACUUGUAUUUCCUAGUUCCGCCUCUGCUGGUGGUGCUGGUUUUCAAACACACACAAAUAAUACAUUCCUCCAAUUCAUUUAACAACGCAUUUCAAACCAAAUGAUUGAGUUGAAUUUCCUAAGAUUUGUACUAGCUAGCUUCAUUGAACUAUUUCUCCCGUCGACAAUAGUCUGCAAACUCUACUGCUAGCUAUCGGCCUAGAUGGUCUGAAGAGUCAGUUGCGUCAGAUCGAAGGCGCCGGAAUCUAGACUACGGUUGGUUGCGGUUUGGUUUCGGCAUACUGGUGGUGAUAUAGGUAGCGGCGGCCAAGUGCUAGUAGGGUGAUCUGGUGCUGGGGGCGGUUUCACUCAAGGUGGUUGUUUGGUUGGUUUGGUGGAUCAUCUCUAAGUUGCUCGGUUUGUUACUUCUUAGUGUGGUAUCCUGGGAAUUUGGCUCAAUAUCCCCGAUUUGCUCCCUAAUUUACGUCUUUGCAAUAUUGCAAGUAAUGUUCCCAUAGAGCACUUUGAUUUGGGGUGUACGGUUUGCCAAAGUGAAAUCAUUGUAUUUAACUGGAAGAGACUAAGAGAGUGAAGUAUUGAGUUUUCUUAUGUAACCAGAUGAGUCACGAGACUGAUGACUGAUGAGGGUGGACAAUGCCGGAAAUAGGAUCAGAGAAUCCAGAAGAAAGGAGAGUAGGUGUCAUUUUGAUAAUCAAGUUACUUGGUAUAUGUCUACCUGAAAACCCCGAAUCAACCUGUUAAUAUUAGCCAAUGCAAGGUUGGAGCCAAGACAGGUCGAGUUAGAGGUUCUAUUGUUUUGAGAAAAUAAUCCAUAAGAUCUUUAUAUCUCCUGGCAUCUUGAAUGAACUCAAAAGGCAAAAUCAACACAGAAUCCUCCACACAUAAUGUUUGGCAACCUGCAUUCAGCUGGUUUGCCAAAGUUAGGUACUAGCUUGUACAAUACAUUGCAUAGGCGAAUAGGUAUGUAGCAUGUACACUAAAUUAUAGUACGAUGAGUAUUUUGGGGAUAAUCGUAAAAUAGUUUGAUUAGGCACUUUAACCCUCAAUUCACAUAGAAACUGUUCAUGAAAGUUGUAGUCAGUUCAUCUCCAACUAUGUCUAGCUAUCUAGUCACAGAGCGAAUCAGGAUAGAUGAACUUCACACCAUCUGUCAAAUAGAGUACCGUAUGUUUC
rnacentral:lncRNA from 1 species